rnacentral:rRNA from 1 species
UUUGCUGACGAGUGGCGGACGGGUGAGUAAUGCUUGGGAAUCUGGCUUAUGGAGGGGGAUAACUGUGGGAAACUGCAGCUAAUACCGCGUAUUCUCUGAGGAGGAAAGGGUGGGACCUUAGGGCCACCUGCCAUAAGAUGAGCCCAAGUGGGAUUAGGUAGUUGGUGGGGUAAAGGCCUACCAAGCCUGCGAUCUCUAGCUGGUCUGAGAGGAUGACCAGCCACACUGGAACUGAGACACGGUCCAGACUCCUACGGGAGGCAGCAGUGGGGAAUAUUGCGCAAUGGGGGGAACCCUGACGCAGCCAUGCCGCGUGAAUGAAGAAGGCCUUCGGGUUGUAAAGUUCUUUCGGUAAUGAGGAAGGGAUGUUGUUAAAUAGAUAGCAUCAUUGACGUUAAUUACAGAAGAAGCACCGGCUAACUCCGUGCCAGCAGCCGCGGUAAUACGGAGGGUGCGAGCGUUAAUCGGAAUAACUGGGCGUAAAGGGCACGCAGGCGGACUUUUAAGUGAGAUGUGAAAUCCCCGAGCUUAACUUGGGAACUGCAUUUCAGACUGGGAGUCUAGAGUACUUUAGGGAGGGGUAGAAUUCCACGUGUAGCGGUGAAAUGCGUAGAGAUGUGGAGGAAUACCGAAGGCGAAGGCAGCCCCUUGGGAAUGUACUGACGCUCAUGUGCGAAAGCGUGGGGAGCAAACAGGAUUAGAUACCCUGGUAGUCCACGCUGUAAACGCUGUCGAUUUGGGGAUUGGGCUAUAUGCUUGGUGCCCGAAGCUAACGUGAUAAAUCGACCGCCUGGGGAGUACGGCCGCAAGGUUAAAACUCAAAUGAAUUGACGGGGGCCCGCACAAGCGGUGGAGCAUGUGGUUUAAUUCGAUGCAACGCGAAGAACCUUACCUACUCUUGACAUCCUAAGAAGAGCUCAGAGAUGAGCUUGUGCCUUCGGGAACUUAGAGAC